GAUCCUGGCUCAGAUUGAACGCUGGCGGCAGGCCUAACACAUGCAAGUCGAACGGUAACAGGAAACAGCUUGCUGUUUCGCUGACGAGUGGCGGACGGGUGAGUAAUGUCUGGGAAACUGCCUGAUGGAGGGGGAUAACUACUGGAAACGGUAGCUAAUACCGCAUAACGUCGCAAGACCAAAGAGGGGGACCUUCGGGCCUCUUGCCAUCAGAUGUGCCCAGAUGGGAUUAGCUAGUAGGUGGGGUAACGGCUCACCUAGGCGACGAUCCCUAGCUGGUCUGAGAGGAUGACCAGCCACACUGGAACUGAGACACGGUCCAGACUCCUACGGGAGGCAGCAGUGGGGAAUAUUGCACAAUGGGCGCAAGCCUGAUGCAGCCAUGCCGCGUG
rnacentral:rRNA from 1 species